rnacentral:tRNA from 1 species
UAAAGUAUAAGCUAAAAUGUAAGCUGAAGAGCUCAUAACUCUUUGAUAGGAACACCUUACUUUAA